GCCACCGCCGUGCUCCUAUCCACUUCUCCCCUUUCAUCUCCUGUCGCCGAGAUCGUUGCCGCCGCGCUGCUCUCCCGUCGAUCUCGCCCCUCGCCGUUGCUGGGAGGAGACGGUUGACCGUCUGAUUGUAUCGACGCCGACGAGUUCGGUGGGCACCGGGUCCUUCUACACCGUCACCGGCGCCGCCUCCUCGUGAGAUCCCCACCAUGGAUCUGUGGUGAUGUAGAAGGGCAGCAGGGCAGCAGCCUCAACGCCACAGGUAACCGCUGAGGAUGUUUAAAAAGGACACCACCAAUAGCAGAGCACUCUAUUGCUGCAAUUAUAUGCAGGUACAAAAUCAAUGCUAACUUUGGGGUCUCCCUUUAUGGCCUUUCCUGUGAUCAUAAGAGCU